rnacentral:miRNA from 1 species
AAUAGAGGAUUCCAAGUUAAUUUUGAAUUUUAGAUAAGCAAUUGAUCAUUUUUAGCAUAAGUAUGCCCUAUGCAAUAUUUGGGAUAUACUUAUACUAAAAAAUGAUUUGUUUAUCUGAAAUUCAAAUUUAACUGGGUGUCCUGUAUUUU